UCCGAAAUUACUGGGCGUAAAGCGCACGUAGGCGGCCUUGUAAGUCAGGGGUGAAAUCCCACAGCUCAACUUGGAACUGCCUUUGAUACUGUCAGUCUAGAGUAUAGUUGAAGUUGGCGGAAUGUGUCAUGUAGCGGUGAAAUGCUUAGAUAUGACACAGAACACCGAUCGCGAAGGCAGCUAGCUAAGCUAUAACUGACGCUCAUGCACGAAAGCGUGGGGAUCAAACAGGAUUAGAUACCCUGGUAGUCCACGCUGUAAACGAUGAUUACUCGAUGUUGGCGAUACACAGUCAGCGUCUGAGCGAAAGCAAUAAGUAAUCCACCUGGGGAGUACGAUCGCAAGAUUGAAACUCAAAGGAAUUGACGGGGGCCCGCACAAGCGGAGGAGCAUGUGGUUUAAUUCGAUGAUACGCGAGGAACCUUACCUGGGCUCGAACGUAAGAUGACUGUAGGUGAAAGCUUACAUCUCUUCGGAGCAUUUUACGAGGUGCUGCAUGGUUGUCGUCAGCUCGUGCCGUGAGGUGUCGGGUUAAGUCCCAUAACGAGCGCAACCCCUACCUUUAGUUGCCAUCAGGUCAUGCUGGGGACUCUAAAGGAACUGCCUACGCAAGUAGUGAGGAAGGCGGGGAUGACGUCAAAUCAGCACGGCCCUUACGUCCAGGGCUACACACGUGCUACAAUGGCCGAUACAGAGGGCAGCUACCUGGUGACAGGAUGCAAAUCCCAAAGUCGGUCUCAGUUCGGAUCGGAGUCUGCAACCCGACUCCGUGAAGUUGGAUUCGCUAGUAAUCGCGCAUCAGUCAUGGCGCGGUGAAUACGUUCCCGGGCCUUGUACACACCGCCCGUCAAGCCAUGGAAGCUGGGGGGACCUAAAGUCGAUAACCGCAAGGAGUCGCCUAGGGUAAAACCAGUGACUGGGGCUAAGUCGUAACAAGGUAACC
rnacentral:rRNA from 1 species